rnacentral:rRNA from 1 species
UACGAAGGGUGCAAGCGUUAAUCGGAAUUACUGGGCGUAAAGCGUGCGUAGGCGGUUUGUUAAGUCUGUUGUGAAAUCCCCGGGCUCAACCUGGGAAUGGCAAUGGAUACUGGCAGGCUAGAGUGUGUCAGAGGAUGGUGGAAUUCCCGGUGUAGCGGUGAAAUGCGUAGAGAUCGGGAGGAACAUCAGUGGCGAAGGCGGCCAGCUGGGACGACACUGACGCUGAGACACGAAAGCGUGGGGAGCAAACAGG